UUCCAUUUCGUUCUCUCCAAAUUGUGUAAACCGAGGCUUGUAGAGCAUAUCUCAAGAGAAAGCUUUCCACUCGAUUACGUUGCAUUUCUGAGACAAUGGUUAUCAGAGUUUGCCAAUCCGUUGUGUAACGCGCCUUGAGAAGGUUCUUUGCAGUGGCUGUCCAAAUUUCCGAGGCAUAGACACAUGUAAAGAAUAGGUGGUCACAGGUUU
rnacentral:lncRNA from 1 species